CAACCUCAACUCAUAUGGGACUACCCCCUGAAUUUAAGCAUAUUAAUUAGGGGGAGGAAAAGAAACUAACCAGGAGUUUCUUAGUAGCGGCGAGCGAAAAGAAAUCAGUUCAGCACUAAGUCACUUUGUCUAUAUGGCAAGCGUGAGAUGCAGUGUAUGGAGCGUCAAUAUUCUAGUAUGAGAAAAUUAACGAUAUAAGUCCUUCUUAAAUGAGGCCAUUUUACCCCAUAGAGGGUGCCAGCCCCGUAUUACCGUAAAUGAUUACUAGAUAGAUGUUUCUCAAAGAGUCCUGGUGGCUUUGAAAGGGCAAGCAGCUAGAGUGGGUGGUGAACUCGCUUCGAAAACUUAAAUUAUAACCAUGGGACGCAUAGGAAACAAGUACUCGGCGAGAGAAAGUUUGAGAAAGACUUCUGAAUAAGAGAGUUAAAACAAGUAGGUGAAAACUGCCUUAGGAAG
rnacentral:ncRNA from 1 species